UUAAUUGAAGAGUUUGAUCAUGGCUCAGAUUGAACGCUGGCGGCAGGCCUAACACAUGCAAGUCGAGCGGCAGCACAGAGGAACUUGUUCCUUGGGUGGCGAGCGGCGGACGGGUGAGUAAUGCCUGGGAAAUUGCCCGGUAGAGGGGGGAUAACCAUUGGAAACGAUGGCUAAUACCGCAUAACCUCGCAAGAGCAAAGCAGGGGACCUUCGGGCCUUGCGCUACCGGAUAUGCCCAGGUGGGAUUAGCUAGUUGGUGAGGUAAGGGCUCACCAAGGCGACGAUCCCUAGCUGGUCUGAGAGGAUGAUCAGCCACACUGGAACUGAGACACGGUCCAGACUCCUACGGGAGGCAGCAGUGGGGAAUAUUGCACAAUGGGCG
rnacentral:rRNA from 1 species